AAAUAAACCAGUGUCCACGGGGAUCCCAGAACUUGCAAGAUUCUCGGCUCUCGCCUUGGGCACAUGCUGUUUGUUUUCCGGUGCAGAACCUUAGUGAAGCAUCACACUGGCUGUGCAGCUGAGCACGGGACGCAUCUGGACUGAGUGAAUCUAUGGACUUCCAAGUGAAGAAAGGACGGGUGGACAGUUGGCCCAGCAGUAAGGACAUCUGCAGCGCACGCUGGAGUGCUUUGGUCUGACUCCAGCUUCCUGCAGAUGCAGACCCCAGGAGGAAGGCGGACCAAGUGCCUAGGUUCCUGCACCAAGUAGGAGGCCCAGAAGAUGCUCCAUGCUCCUGGGGUUGGUCUGGCCCAGCUGUAGCUGUUACAA